GGUGAGGUGGCCGAGUGGACGAAGGCGCAGCUCUGGAGAAGCUGUAGGGGAGCAAUCCCCUCGAGGGUUCGAAUCCCUCCCUCACCGCCA
rnacentral:tRNA from 1 species